UACGAAGGGGGCUAGCGUUGCUCGGAAUCACUGGGCGUAAAGCGCUCGUAGGCGGAUUGUUAAGUCAGGGGUGAAAUCCUGGAGCUCAACUCCAGAACUGCCUUUGAUACUGGCGAUCUUGAGUCCGGGAGAGGUGAGUGGAACUGCGAGUGUAGAGGUGAAAUUCGUAGAUAUUCGCAAGAACACCAGUGGCGAAGGCGGCUUUCUGGACGGUAACUGACGCUGAGGCGCGAAAGCGUGGGGAGCAAACAGG
rnacentral:rRNA from 1 species